CUGUUGUGGCCUUUUAGGCAGUUUUUCACUGCCUGUUUUCUUGGUGUGGUCUUCAGUGGGUGGCGGAGUGUGAUUGCAUUUGCAGGACACUGACUUAAGAAGACCUUUUGUUUUGACAAAGCAGUUGGCAAGGACAUCUUUGAAUAAGGAUUAGUCCCUCACACUCCCACAAGCAUAUAAAACAGAAAUGAGGAGAAGAGGAAAAAUUGUUCAUUUUAAUCAAAUAAGGUCACUUUGUAAGCUUUGAUGCCUUAGUUUCAAGCCAUGCAAGAAUAGUUCCAGUCAAAGAUUUCUUUUUUGUAAUUUGAUGAAUCAAACUUGAGAAUAAGUGGAUCCAUUUGAUUGCAGGAAUUUUUAGUGAAUUUUCCUUUUCACUAUGCA